GUCCACAAGGACAGCACAGGAGGAGAAGGGAGGAAGAGGAGUUCCCAAACAAGCUUUGUCACAAGCGGGGGACUUGAUUUGUGUCAGGAGGGCUGUGGAAAUGGAAAUUCGGGCGCCUUGUUGAAGUGUCCUGUGAGGAAAAUCCCCACUGUGCCGAUGAUGAAGAGGAGAAUGGCGGCCCAGAAACACACCUUGUCAAUCAUCUUCCCAAUCAGCACCCAGCUUUCAAUUUCCUUUAUUUGGAAUUAAAACUCUGCAAUGAAAUUGCAGGCAUCCACGCAUUGCUUUAUCUCAGGUGCAGCUUGAGCUAAACUCUUAUACAGAUUGGCUGUAGUAUUGGCAUCGACGCCAUCAACUAGAAACAGUCAUCAGCAUUUCAAAUAAACAUUUAAGAACAAUGAGUGGGUUAAACUCUGUCUCACCAUUGGGUUGCAUCAGCCCAUGUUUCUCUUUUUGCUUGUCAAACAUCAUCUCACUGCGAGGCUGUUUGAGCACAUACUCCUCAGCUCGCUGCAUGAGGCCGAAGGAAUCUCUCCUCCGAUCUCUUACGCCGUUCACCUCUGAGGUCACCUCGGUGUCGUCCAGGAGAGGCGACAUACCUAGGAAACGGGGAACCGUCUCCAGGAACAGCUGAAAAAGGAUACAGAAGUGUAUUUUAACAACCUCUACUUACGAGUUUACAAUGCAUUGGUGCACUUACAUGUUUGAUCUGAUAGGACAUGGUGUGAGUGCUGGGGCUGCGCAGGGAGAAGUUCAA